GCGGAAGUAGCUCAUUUGGUAGAGCAUCAGCCUUCCAAGCUGAGGGUAGCGAGUUCGAGCCUCGUCUUCCGCUCCA
rnacentral:tRNA from 1 species